rnacentral:lncRNA from 1 species
GGUGAACCUCUCCACUGUUUGUGCCAAUGCACCCCAGCUGUGGAGAAAUUACACCUCCUCAUCUGGUACCAGGUUGGGGAGGAGCUGGAUUCUUCCCUGAAUCACUCUGCCAGCGUCCUGUAUUCUGAAUCACUCUGCCAGGGACCUGUAUUCUGAAUCACUCUGCCAGCGACCUGUAUUCUGAAUCACUCUGCCAGCGUCCUGUAUUCUGAAUCACUCUGCCAGCGUCCUGUAUUCUGAAUCACUCUGCCAGCGUCCUGUAUUCUGAAUCACUCUGCCAGCGUCCUGUAUUCUGAAUCACUCUGCCAGCGUCCUGUAUUCUGAAUCACUCUGCCAGCGACCUGUAUUCUGAAUCACUCUGCCAGCGUCCUGUAUUCUGAAUCACUCUGCCAGCGUCCUGUAUUCUGAAUCACUCUGCCAGGGACCUGUAUUCUGAAUCACUCUGCCAGCGACCUGUAUUCUGAAUCACUCUGCCAGGGUCCUGUAUUCUGAAUCACUCUGCCAGCGUCCUGUAUUCUGAAUCACUCUGCCAGCGUCCUGUAUUCUGAAUCACUCUGCCAGCGUCCUGUAUUCUGAAUCACUCUGCCAGCGUCCUGUAUUCUGAAUCACUCUGCCAGCGACCUGUAUUCUGAAUCACUCUGCCAGCGACCUGUAUUCUGAAUCACUCUGCCAGGGACCUGUAUUCUGAAUCACUCUGCCAGGAACCUGUAUUCUGAAUCACUCUGCCAGGGACCUGUAUUCUGAAUCACUCUGCCAGGGACCUGUAUUCUGAAUCACGCUGCCAGGGACCUGUGUUCUGAAUCACUCUGCCAGGGACCUGUGUUCUGAAUCACUCUGCCAGCGACCUGUAUUCUGAAUCACUCUGCCAGGGACCUGUAUUCUGAAUCACUCUGCUAGGGACCUGUGUUCUGAAUCACUCUGCCAGGGACCUGUGUUCUGAAUCACUCUGCCAUUACUCAUCUCACCCUAACCCUAACCCUGUAUUCUGAAUCCAAUUCAAUGGUGCAAUUAACGACUUCUCAGGCUGAGGAGUGAGUUUACAAAUCCAUACCUGUUAAAGUCCA